GACGAACGCUGGCGGCGUGCUUAACACAUGCAAGUCGAACGGAAAGGCCCUGCUUUUGUGGGGUGCUCGAGUGGCGAACGGGUGAGUAACACGUGAGUAACCUGCCCUUGACUUUGGGAUAACUUCAGGAAACUGGGGCUAAUACCGGAUAGGAGCUCCUGCUGCAUGGUGGGGGUUGGAAAGUUUCGGCGGUUGGGGAUGGACUCGCGGCUUAUCAGCUUGUUGGUGGGGUAGUGGCUUACCAAGGCUUUGACGGGUAGCCGGCCUGAGAGGGUGACCGGGCAGAUUGGGACUGAGAUACGGGCCAGAAUCCUACGGGAAGCAGCAGUGGGGAAUUUUGCACAAGGGUCGGAAGCCUGAUGCAGCAACGCCGCGUGCGGGAUGACGGCCUUCGGGUUGUAAACCGCUUUCGCCUGUGACGAAGCGUGAGUGACGGUAAUGGGUAAAGAAGCACCGGCUAACUACGUG
rnacentral:rRNA from 1 species